UAAUCGGAAUUACUGGGCGUAAAGCGUGCGCAGGCGGCUUGCCAAGUCAGAUGUGAAAGCCCCGGGCUUAACCUGGGAAUGGCGUUUGAAACUGGCAGGCUAGAGUUUGGCAGAGGGGGGUGGAAUUCCACGUGUAGCAGUGAAAUGCGUAGAGAUGUGGAGGAACACCGAUGGCGAAGGCAGCCCCCUGGGCCAAAACUGACGCUCAGGCACGAAAGCGUGGGGAGCAAACAGG
rnacentral:rRNA from 1 species